GGGAUGAGCCGAUUAAUCGGUAAAUAAUCGGCAAAGCCGAUUAAUCGGCCGUUUUUUAAAUAAUCGGUAAUCGGCCGAUUAUUGCUUGAUAAUCGGCAAAUAAUCGGCCAUAAGACUUUUUCUGCAGCUGCCAAGCACAUGCUAAAAUACUGAAUUACAAGUGAAUAGAUUUUCACAUUUUGUUGCAAAACCUGUGUCUUUUGUCUCGAGGGAAGUGAAGCUGGGAACAUUUCCACUGAAAAACGCAGCAGAGUAGCUCCGCAUAGCUGACAAUAUCCUGUUUUUACACCAUAAUCUGCC